rnacentral:pre_miRNA from 9 species
UCUCGAUAGUGUAAAAUCUAACUCAAAUUUGUAUGGCUUUGGGACGUUUGCCUACUUUUGCCACUAGGGGCGCUGUUCCAACUGCAUAAAAAUUUGAGUUAACUUUUACGCUAUCGA